UAUCUAUCAGUACCAGUGUGUCACUAUAGCUA
rfam:Astyanax mexicanus chromosome 7, whole genome shotgun sequence.